ensembl:lncRNA
AAAUCUGCAAUGCACAUUCACUCACCUGGAAAAAAGAAAUAUGUAUGCAAAAAUGCUCUUCAUCGAUUACAGCUCAGCAUUUAACAGCAUCAUCUUCUCAAAACUUGCCUCGGAGCUUGUUGACCUUGGGCUGGGAACAUCUAUCUGCAGAUGGAUUCUCUGAUUCCUCACAAACAAGCCCCAGGUGGUGAGAGUUGUGUCCAAUAAAGACAGGUUGUCAGGGGAGGUCGGUGUGAGAGCCCUGUGCUACAGGUCAAUGAGGAAGAGUGAGGCACCACACAGACUAAGUGUAGGCAGGAAGCCUUGUAAAGUUGUUAAUCCCCGUUCAGUGGGGUUCAGUUCAUUUAAGCAUUAGUUAAGUUCAUUCCUAAAGGCCCAUCAACUUGAAUGUUUUCCUUGUCUCCCUGCUUUAUCACUCCUAAUUUGACUAGUCAGAUAGUUUAAUCAACGUGUGUUUGGGUGAUCAGAAACAUUUGACACCAAGUUAAUACUGCAAAUAUACACAAUCUAAGUUAUUACAGUUAUCAAGGAUGGUUAAGUUGUUUUAAUAGGGAGAGAAGGAAACACUAAGCAUUCAGGAAGGUAAGCCUGUAGGGGUCAGUAACCAUAACACUGAACUAUGUUCCUGUUCGGCUCUUUCAUGAAGAUGAUGUUACAUUUUUAAUUUACGUUCUUUCUUCGUAUAUUAAGUUUCUGGAUUCAUCGCCGGUGAUACUGACACAUAGCCAGUGCUCCUGUGUGGCAGGCACUGUUAUGUGCAAUCACACAAUGGCACUGCUCUUCCAAACAGCACACUACUCACAACUCAGAGUGCCGGUUGUCCCCCCUGUGCAUAGCUGCACGGAAUCUGAACAGCAAUGGCACAAGCCACGGACAGUGGUAAUUUAAAUGAGGUUAAAGUUUUUGAAUUAGUCCAUGUUUACAUAUGAACAGCAACACCAUCCAUAGUAAAUGUGUCUUCUGUUAGGGUGUGAAGCCAGGACCCAUCAACUCCAUGAUCUUCACUAAGCCGGUACCAAAUAGGAUGGCCCAGACUGGAGUACAGAGUGGCUUCUACAGAGGCACGGUGGGUCCGUUACCAGAUCCCUGCUUGUUCAGAAUAACGGAGGCAUAUGCAAAAUUUAAUAUUGAGGACAGGCCACUUGUGACCACAAUGAACAUGAGACCUGACAAGCCCCUUGUGGAAAGUGCUUUUGGGCUGGUGCAGGAGGGCAGAGUUCUGUCAUAUCAGCAGCCGGUUUUGACAACCCGGUACAUCACACUACACCGUGAUGCACCACCAACACCGCACUUGCCUCUGGAGGGGUAUGACAUCUUGCCAUCAGAUUGUGUGUUUGUGUGCUCAGAAGAAGAGCUUCUGCAUCUGAAAAGCUUGUCUGUAACUCUGGAAAUGGCUCACAAAAUAGAGGAAGCUACACGUGAGCAAAGCUCUUCAUCUGAGUGGCAUCAGCUCCGCAGGCCCAGAGUGACUGCCUCUAGGUUUCGGGAGGUGUGUCACGUCAGAGGCCAGAGCUCAGCAGAGUCACUAGCAGAGCGUAUAUUGAAGGGAGCAAGGCAGACAGCAGACAUGAGGAGAGGAACUGAGAUGGAGCCUGCAAUAGCAGCAGAGUAUAGUAGGCUAAUGAAUGUUAACUACUCACCCUGUGGUCUGGUCAUUCACCCCAUUGCCCCCUGGCUUGCUGCAUCUCCUGAUGGUGUUGUUUUUGACCCCAAUGAAUACCCCCAGUUUGGCCUCGUCGAAUUCAAAUGUCCCAAUGUACAAAACUUUAUUGACUGCAAAUAUGUGCAAAUGGAAUGUGGUACCCCUAAACUAAAAAAGAGCCACGCAUAUUACUGGCAAGUGCAAGGACAACUGCUCAUCAGUGGGAUGUAGUGGUGUGACUUUGUUGUGUGGGCAACUACCUAGUGCCAAGAGGACUACCUAGUGCCUAGAAUAUACAUGGAUACAGAUGUGCACAAUGCAAUCAGAGAAAAGGCUGACUACUUCUUUUUUUUUACAUAUAUAUGCCAAGAUACCUGUGUUUGGAAAAAUGAACAGUGAAAACAUAGCAAAAAGGAAAACAGAUUCUUCAGGCUGGCUGGAACAAAAUAACUGAUAUUUUAUUUGCAAUGUAUUUCAUGAUUUUUUUGUUGUUGUUACAUGUUACUUUUAUGUGAAAUCAAUAAACUGUUAUUUAAGCA